rnacentral:rRNA from 1 species
CCGUAGCCCAAGAGAUCGGGAUAACACCUGGAAACAGAUGCUAAUACCGGAUAACAACAGAUGAUGCCUAUCAACUGUUUAAAAGAUGGUUCUGCUAUCACUCUUGGAUGGACCUGCGGUGCAUUAGCUAGUUGGUAGGGUAACGGCCUACCAAGGCGAUGAUUGCAUAGCCGAGUUGAGAGACUGAUCGGCCACAUUGGGACUGAGACACGGCCCAAACUCCUACGGGAGGCAGCAGUC